rnacentral:misc_RNA from 1 species
AACACUGUUAACCUGCGGUACCUGCGGAAGGAUCAUUACAGAGUUGCAAAACUCCCUAAACCAUUGUGAACGUUACCUAAACCGUUGCUUCGGCGGGCGGCCCGGGUCCUUCCCGGCGCCCAUCGGCCCUCGCGGGCGCCCGCCGGAGGUAAACCAAACUAUUGCAUUGUAUGGCUUCUCUGAGUCUUCUGUACUGAAUAAGUCAAAACUUUCAACAAUGGAUCUCAGAUCGGAAGAGCA